rnacentral:misc_RNA from 1 species
CCGAGUUUACAACUCCCAAACCCCUGUGAACUACACUUGUUGCCUCGGCGGAUCAGCCCGCUCCCGGUAAAACGGGACGGCCCGCCAGAGGACCCCUAAACUCUGUUUCUAUAUGUAACUUCUGAGUAAAACCAUAAAUAAAUCA